UAGGAUUUCAGAGCUGCUUUCUGCCCACAGAAAAAAAUAUUUCUGAUAUGCUAAACAAAUUUUUGGAGGUAAAUUAGCAGCGGGACUUACUUGGCCAUUGCUGUCCCUCGCCUUCAGACAAGU
rnacentral:snoRNA from 1 species